AACGUAGGACGCAAGCGUUAUCCGGAAUUACUGGGCGUAAAGCGCGUGUAGGCGGAUUGCCAAGUCGGGCAUGAAAGCUCCUGGCUAAACUGGGAGAGGUUGUUCGAAACUGGCAGUCUGGAGUGUGACAGAGGAGCGUGGAAUUCCGCAUGUAGUGGUGAAAUGCGUAGAUAUGCGGAGGAACACCAGUGGCGAAGGCGGCGCUCUGGGUCACAACUGACGCUAAGACGCGAAAGCAUGGGUAGCGAACGGGAUUAGAUACCCCCGUA
rnacentral:rRNA from 1 species